GAUGAACGCUGGCGGCGUGCCUAACACAUGCAAGUCGAACGAGACCUUCGGGUCUAGUGGCGCACGGGUGCGUAACGCGUGGGAACCUGCCCUUAGGUUCGGAAUAACUCCCCGAAAGGGGUGCUAAUACCGGAUAAUGUCUUCGGACCAAAGAUUUAUCGCCUUUGGAUGGGCCCGCGUUGGAUUAGCUAGUUGGUAGGGUAAAAGCCUACCAAGGCGACGAUCCAUAGCUGGUCUGAGAGGAUGAUCAGCCACACUGGGACUGAGACACGGCCCAGACUCCUACGGGAGGCAGCAGUGGGGAAUAUUGGACAAUGGGCGAAAGCCUGAUCCAGCAAUGCCGCGUGAGUGAUGAAGGCCUUAGGGUUGUAAAGCUCUUUUACCCGGGAUGAUAAUGACAGUACCGGGAGAAUAAGCUCCGGCUAACUCCGUG
rnacentral:rRNA from 1 species